UACGUAGGGGGCUAGCGUUGUCCGGAUUUAUUGGGCGUAAAGAGCGUGUAGGCGGCCAGGUAGGUCUGGUGUGAAAACUCGAGGCUUAACCUUGAGAUGUCAUCGGAAACCAUUUGGCUAGAGUCCGGAAGAGGAAAGUGGAAUUCCUGGUGUAGCGGUGAAAUGCGCAGAUAUCAGGAAGAACACCAAUGGCGAAAGCGGCUUCCUGGACCAGUACCGACGUUCAGGCACGAAAGCGUGGGGAGCAAACAGG
rnacentral:rRNA from 1 species